rnacentral:lncRNA from 1 species
UUACCUUAUAAAAGAGAUAACUGUUGCUGCAAAGUAGAGAUAUUGGAUACUGGAUUGAGGGGGAACAAAACUAAAAAUGGGAAGUAGCAGGUGUUGAAAUAAUCUUGACAAGAAAUGACAAGAGCAUGAACUAAGACCUGGGAAGGUUUCAUGCUUCUUUUUAUCAGACUCUGAAGUACCUGUACUUUGGUUAGACCCCUCGAAGCCUAAUGAGCCUGUGGAGGAGCUGAGAUACUGGGUCGAGAUAAAUGGAAAUAUUUUCGCUGAAAACGAACAAAAGAGUCUUCAAAUUGACAAUCUUCAGGGUGAGAAAGAAUAUACUUGAAGGCAAUAUUCUUAAGGAAGAUCCUAUAAACAACUUGAGAAGGUAGUGAACAAGAUGUUUCAUCUAUUUUUGGUAACAAGACAUGUAUGUGCAUAUAGGGAAAUUAAAAACAAAGAAAGAAAUCUCCAGGCUAGUGGUGGAAAGAGUCCCUAUGCGAGUCUCUACGUGGUCUUGGCAGGCAUUCUCUAAUUGCAGCCUGAAGCCUUCCCUUCCUGGCACCAGCUAUGAAUUAAGGUAGGCAGAUAACAAAGAUUGGUGGCUUAGGGACUCCUACAAAGUCUGCAGACUUAAGUAUAUCCUUCUGGAAUGGUCAUCAUUCUAAACACAUCAGACACAUGCUUUAACUGAAGGUUUGGCACUUGCAGCUCUCUCUUCCUGGAACACGCUUUUCUGAGAUUCACAUAGCUACUCGCUCACCUCCUUCAGGUCUCUACUGAAAUGUCGCCUUCUCAGCGAGGGCUUCCCAGAAGCUCCAUCUAAAAUUGCAGCACCUCACUGCUGUGUCAUAUCCUGCCAACUGUCUGUUACUCUUAAUCACUUAAAUCCAUCUAACCUAUACCAUGUUUAAGUAUUUCUUAAAUAUUGUUUUCUUCCAGAAAAAAAUUGUAUAAGGGCAUAGAUUUUUG